rnacentral:rRNA from 1 species
ACCGUGCAAAGGUAGCAUAAUCAUUAGUUUUUUAAUUGAAAGCUGGAAUGAACGGUUGGACGAGAAAAUAACUGUCUCAAUUUAAUUGAAUGUAGAAUUUUAUUUAUAAGUAAAAAAGCUUAUAUAAAUUUAAAAGACGAGAAGACCCUAUAGAGUUUUAUAAUUUUUUAUAUUGAAGAAUUUUAGUAUGUUUAUAUUUUUGAUAUAAAAAAUUAUUUUGCUGGGGCAGCAGAAAAAUUAACUAAACUUUUUUUAUAUUUUUUACAUUGAUUUAUGAUUUAAUGAUCCAUUUUUUAUGAUUACAAGAUUAAAUUACCUUAGGGAUAACAGCGUAAUUUUUUUUUAGAGUUCUUAUCGAAAAAAGAGUUU